GAAAGUUGUACCACCUGGCCACUUGGCAGCAGACAAAAACUUGCAAAAAGGCGGGCAAGAAAACACUUUGCUAUCAUUGCUCCAGCAUGUUUUCAUCCAAUGUAUUUUCUCUCACAGAUUGUCUCUACGUGCAAGCUUCCAGGAUUUUUAGAUGGAAUUUUCAUCAUAGUUGGUUAUAGCUUCUCCAGUGGCCUGUCUUCCAGAAUUAGCAAUUCUCACACGACUUUAAUAACGUUGGCUCGGUUUGACUUCUCAAGGCUGGAAUGUGACCAAUACAUUAGCAAUGCUGAUUGGCUUUGAUGAGAGGUUUCUGAAAAGAAAUACAUGCAUAGAACUUUGACCUUGGGAAAAAUAGUGUUGAUGUGUUCAAACUGCAACAACUUAAGAGUGUCUUUUGUAGCAUGACAGCAAUAAUUGUAUUAACCGAAGUGGAGUGAAAGUAAAUUUUAAGCAAAUUUCUACAAGAGAAACUCCUAGAUUACAGCCAGGAAAUUGCACAAUAGGUACCAUUCAGUGGUGGAGCAGCAGUUCGUGGUGAUGGUAUCAUGCUUAAUGAAGGUAAUGAAAAGUAAGAAAUGCAAUGGAGAGCUGACGUUGCAUUGGCUGCAUCUAAUCACAUUGGAAGGAAGCUUUGUAUCAACUGAUGACAAGUUUGUGUUUUAGAGUAUACUGCUUUGAAGGUGAUGUCUGCCUAAAUGGAUCAGAAAUGUUAACACAAAGAAUAUAUAACAUAAAUUUUAAUCUUACCAUUACUCAUUGUAAUAUAUUGAGAAUCAAGAUUUCUAUCAUUGGAACAAUAAAUAUGCUAACCUGUAACUCACAGUCCUACAUGUGAACCACUAUCACAUAGUGAGCUAAUCAAGUAUGAAAAAUAGGUCUUGUAAACAAUAUGGGUACUUGGUUUUUAUGAGAGACGAAAAAACAAGAAAUGGAAAUAGUAGCAUGGUUAUUGGCAGAAAAUAUUGCAUUAAAGAAAUGUUACUUGGGGAGAUGAAAAUUCGUUACCAAAAUCAGCCUAAUUUUUAUACAAAACAUAACAGAACAUUAUGAUAUAUACUGAAUAUAUACAAUUUUUAGAAUUGAUUCCUAUAGAACAUAUGCCUCCACUCCCCUUUAUUUCACAUGCCCCUUGAUAUUUUGGAACAUCUUAAUGCAGUCAUGUUUUGAAUGUCACUGGGAAGGUUCUUAAAAUGGUCACACUCAAGAAAAGUACAUGCAUUAUUUCUGUGUUUUAGGACAAAAGAUGUUUACCUAUGCUGUGUCUCUAUCUAGAAAGCUUUCUCUCUCUCUCUCUCUCUCUCUCUCUCACACACACACACACACACACACACACACACACACAAACACAUACACACUGACUGACCCCUGUUCAUCAUUCAGGACUCAGCUCAACCCUCAGUUCUCAAGAAGUAUUUCCUUGGCUCAUUCUUAAUAUUGGUCACCACUCUUAUUCUUUCUUAAACUCUAUCAAGAAGGAAAACUUUUUUUCUCACCCUCUUAUGUUUAGUCCCGGGGGGCAUAAAAAUUAAAAUUUUUAUUAAUAUUUACAUGCAUGGGAGUUCACAGAAAUUCAGAUAAAUAGUUAGACUUUGAGGCUCAUAUACCGUUUUAAAAAAGGAAAGAAGGUUUGGACUUCAAGAGGCCAUAAAUCAUGGGGAAGUGACUAGGAUAUAUGUGAAGAAACUAAUUGAAGGUAAGGGCUGUUUUAGUAAGGUCUAUUUAUGCAAACUUGUCUUGGUAUUGACUCCCUGCCUUUGAUGAUAAGAGUAUUUCUUCUCUGGAUGGUGGGGUGGGAAGAGGAAGGGAGGAGUUCAAAAAUUUAUUCUCUGCUUUUAGGCAAAUAUGGGAGGGCAGAGAACUCUUCUAGCCUCUGUUGAUUCUUGAUUGCCUUUAGCUCAAAAUUAUUCUAUGCUAAGUGGCCAAUUUCAGGGUAGCAUUGUCUGAUGUCUUCAAUACUCUGUUCUUGACCUUAGUGGCAUUUCUGACAAUUUUUCAAAUCUAUGUAAUACUGGUCUCCCCUACUAGACUGUAAUCUCACUGAAGAUGAGAGCCUUUUCUAUUAUUUACCUCUAUACACAGAACACUAACAUAGGUCCUGGCCCCAUAUAUUUAUUGACAAAUAUAUGAUUGUGUGAAUGAGAUAGCACUUAAGCAAAAAAUGCUUUUUGAUUUGUGAAAAUAAAUAGCCUCUUUCUUUCAUGAAGUUUUAGAACAUAAUUGAGAUACUUUUUUGGAAGAAAUGCUGAUAUGCUUUAAAUUGUUUAUGCCAAUAAAACUAUUUAAGUACAUAGCUUUAGUAAGGUGCUUUGUAAAUUGUAAGUACUUUUCUAUAUACAAGUUCAACCUGCCCCAAAUUUCU